rnacentral:rRNA from 1 species
UACGUAGGUGGCAAGCGUUGUCCGGAAUUAUUGGGCGUAAAGCGCGCGCAGGUGGUCCUUUAAGUCUGAUGUGAAAGCCCACGGCUCAACCGUGGAGGGUCAUUGGAAACUGGGGGACUUGAGUGCAGGAGAGAAGAGUGGAAUUCCACGUGUAGCGGUGAAAUGCGUAGAGAUGUGGAGGAACACCAGUGGCGAAGGCGGCACUCUGGGCCGAUACUGACACUGAGGAGCGAAAGCGUGGGGAGCGAACAGG